GCUGUAUCUACGGCAAGUCGGAAGAUUCAAAUCAUUAACGGCAACGAUGAACUUUGUCUCGCAGUGCAAACGCACAUUAAAUGACUGCAGCCGAGUUUUGUUGUCAGAUAAUCCAGGACCUGAUGUCCUUCUGUCAUCAUUAAAUAGAAUUGAAACCAUGCAGAGGAGUCUGGAGUGGGCAAGGGGGAGGCUUAUAAAUGCCCAGGCUGCAGAUGAAAUUAUCCAUGGGAUAACAGAGUUUAUUCAGAUGGUUCAGAAUUUACAUGAAGGUAACUGACAUCACACUGAAAGGAAACUCCAUUCAAAGAUAAGACAAGACACGAUUUUCUUGUUGAGGUUGUUCCGAAUAGUAAUUAUUGAGACAAUCAUAAAAUCGUUCAAAAAUCAUCCAGUUCAUGGAAAAAAAUUUUGUUUGCUUUGCUACUCAGUUUUUCACAAAACAAAGCAUGGCAUAAUAAUAUUUCUUCAGACGGAUCUGGGUAUCGACCGCCAUUAAUUAGUAAUGGAUCACGAGGUGCACCAUCUUAUGCCAUUACUCGGAGUCAGCUGUCAUUUCAGAGGUCUUGCAGUUUUAUAGUACCACAGAUGGCAGAUAUUCUCCACACAUCUACAAUCAAAAGAUGAUUAAGGCACUUCAAUAUGUUGCAGUCUGCUUCCUAUUCAGACAUGACUGAUUCAGCCUUGGAUGAAAAAAUUCGGGACCUGGUGGCUGGAAAUGAUCAGCUUGGCCCAGGGCUGUCCGGGCGCAACUGAAAGGAGAGGGAAUCUGGGUGCAGAGAUGGAGAGUGAGGAUCAGUUUGCAGCGUGUCAACCGAAGGGCUGCAGCCCUCUGAGCAUUGUCUCCAAGACUCCAUAGAAGGUCUUACCUUGUCGCAGGACCUAAUUCUUUAUGGCAUUUGGAUGGAAACCACAAACUAAUAAGGUUCAUGCAAUUCUCACCAGUUUCUUUAAGUUACCCAUUAAUUAUGUUUAUUAAAAUCUACAGUAAAAUGUUACAUAGUACUGAUGUGUUGGGCAGUAAUUUUCUAGUUCUCUUAAGCUGUUGUUUUUUUGCAGCUAAC